rnacentral:rRNA from 1 species
UACAGAGGGUGCAAGCGUUGCUCGGAAUUAUUGGGCGUAAAGGGUAGGUAGGUGGUCUCAUUUGUCUGGGGUGAAAGCCUUGAGCUUAACUCAAGAAGUGCCCCAGAAACGGUGAGACUGGAGUCCUGGAGAGGGUCGUGGAAUUCCCGGUGUAGCGGUGAAAUGCGUAGAGAUCGGGAGGAACACCAGAGGCGAAAGCGGCGACCUGGACAGGCACUGACACUCAACUACGAAAGCGUGGGGAGCAAACAGG